UACGUAGGGGGCGAGCGUUGUCCGGAUUCAUUGGGCGUAAAGAGCUCGUAGGCGGCUUAGUAAGUCGGGUGUGAAACCCCCAGGCUCAACCUGGGGACGCCACUCGAUACUGCUAUAGCUAGAGUCCGGUAGGGGACCACGGAAUUCCUGGUGUAGCGGUGAAAUGCGCAGAUAUCAGGAGGAACACCGGUGGCGAAGGCGGUGGUCUGGGCCGGCACUGACGCUGAGGAGCGAAAGCGUGGGGAGCGAACAGG
rnacentral:rRNA from 1 species